UGGGCGUAAGCGAGCGCAGGCGGUUUCUUAAGUCUGAUGUGAAAGCCCCCGGCUCAACCGGGGAGGGUCAUUGGAAACUGGGAAACUUGAGUGCAGAAGAGGAGAGUGGAAUUCCAUGUGUAGCGGUGAAAUGCGUAGAUAUAUGGAGGAACACCAGUGGCGAAGGCGGCUCUCUGGUCUGUAACUGACGCUGAGGCUCGAAAGCGUGGGGAGCAAACAGGAUUAGAUACCC
rnacentral:rRNA from 1 species